rnacentral:rRNA from 1 species
UUCUGGCUCAGGAUGAACGCUAGCGGCAGGCCUAACACAUGCAAGUCGCGGGGCAGCACGGGUAGCAAUACCUGGUGGCGACCGGCGCACGGGUGCGUAACGCGUAUGCAACCUGCCCCCAUCAGGGGAGUAGCCCGCCGAAAGGCGGAUUAAUGCCCCAUAGGCCCAGGGCGCCGCAUGGCGCUAUGGGUAAAGCUCCGGCGGAUGGGGAUGGGCAUGCGUGCCAUUAGCUAGUUGGGGCGGUAACGGCGCACCAAGGCGACGAUGGUUAGGGGGUCUGAGAGGAUGGUCCCCCACACUGGUACUGAGACACGGACCAGACUCCUACGGGAGGCAGCAGUGAGGAAUAUUGGUCAAUGGGCGGAAGCCUGAACCAGCCAUUGCCGCGUGCAGGAUGACGGCCCUACGGGUUGUAAACUGCUUUUCCCCGGGAAGAAUAAGCCCCUCGUGAGGGGUGAUGCCGGUACCGGGGGAAUAAGGAUCGGCUAACUCCGUGCCAGCAGCUGC